UGCAGUCGAGCGGUAACAGAUCCAGCUUGCUGGAUGCUGACGAGCGGCGGACGGGUGAGUAAUGCAUAGGAAUCUGCCCGAUAGUGGGGGAUAACCUGGGGAAACCCAGGCUAAUACCGCAUACGUCCUACGGGAGAAAGGGGGCUCCGGCUCCCGCUAUGGGAUGAGCCUAUGUCGGAUUAGCUAGUUGGUGAGGUAACGGCUCACCAAGGCCACGAUCCGUAGCUGGUCUGAGAGGAUGAUCAGCCACAUCGGGACUGAGACACGGCCCGAACUCCUACGGGAGGCAGCAGUGGGGAAUAUUGGACAAUGGGGGAAACCCUGAUCCAGCCAUGCCGCGUGUGUGAAGAAGGCCCUCGGGUUGUAAAGCACUUUCAGCGAGGAAGAACGCCUAGCGGUUAAUACCCGCUAGGAAAGACAUCACUCGCAGAAGAAGCACCGGCUAACUCCGUGCCAGCAGCCGCGGUAAUACGGAGGGUGCAAGCGUUAAUCGGAAUUACUGGGCGUAAAGCGCGCGUAGGUGGCUUGAUAAGCCGGUUGUGAAAGCCCCGGGCUCAACCUGGGAACGGCAUCCGGAACUGUCAAGCUAGAGUGCAGGAGAGGAAGGUAGAAUUCCCGGUGUAGCGGUGAAAUGCGUAGAGAUCGGGAGGAAUACCAGUGGCGAAGGCGGCCUUCUGGACUGACACUGACACUGAGGUGCGAAAGCGUGGGUAGCAAACAGGAUUAGAUACCCUGGGUAGUCCACGCCGUAUACGAUGUCGACCAGCCGUUGGGUGCCUAGCGCACUUUGUGGCGAAGUUAACGCGAUGAGUCGACCGCCUGGGAGUACG
rnacentral:rRNA from 1 species